rnacentral:rRNA from 1 species
GAUAAGCGUCGGUGAGGUGAUAUGAACCGUUAUAACCGGCGAUUUCCGAAUGGGGAAACCCAGUGUGUUUCGACACACUAUCAUUAACUGAAUCCAUAGGUUAAUGAGGCGAACCGGGGGAACUGAAACAUCUAAGUACCCCGAGGAAAAGAAAUCAACCGAGAUUCCCCCAGUAGCGGCGAGCGAACGGGGAGGAGCCCAGAGCCUGAAUCAGUGUGUGUGUUAGUGGAAGCGUCUGGAAAGGCGCGCGAUACAGGGUGACAGCCCCGUACACAAAAAUGCACAUAUUGUGAGCUCGAUGAGUAGGGCGGGACACGUGGUAUCCUGUCUGAAUAUGGGGGGACCAUCCUCCAAGGCUAAAUACUCCUGACUGACCGAUAGUGAACCAGUACCGUGAGGGAAAGGCGAAAAGAACCCCGGCGAGGGGAGUGAAAAAGAACCUGAAACCGUGUACGUACAAGCAGUGGGAGCCUCUUAAUGGGGUGACUGCGUACCUUUUGUAUAAUGGGUCAGCGACUUAUAUUCUGUAGCAAGGUUAACCGAAUAGGGGAGCCGAAGGGAAACCGAGUCUUAACUGGGCGUUAAGUUGCAGGGUAUAGACCCGAAACCCGGUGAUCUAGCCAUGGGCAGGUUGAAGGUUGGGUAACACUAACUGGAGGACCGAACCGACUAAUGUUGAAAAAUUAGCGGAUGACUUGUGGCUGGGGGUGAAAGGCCAAUCAAACCGGGAGAUAGCUGGUUCUCCCCGAAAGCUAUUUAGGUAGCGCCUCGUGAAUUCAUCUCCGGGGGUAGAGCACUGUUUCGGCAAGGGGGUCAUCCCGACUUACCAACCCGAUGCAAACUGCGAAUACCGGAGAAUGUUAUCACGGGAGACACACGGCGGGUGCUAACGUCCGUCGUGAAGAGGGAAACAACCCAGACCGCCAGCUAAGGUCCCAAAGUCAUGGUUAAGUGGGAAACGAUGUGGGAAGGCCCAGACAGCCAGGAUGUUGGCUUAGAAGCAGCCAUCAUUUAAAGAAAGCGUAAUAGCUCACUGGUCGAGUCGGCCUGCGCGGAAGAUGUAACGGGGCUAAACCAUGCACCGAAGCUGCGGCAGCGACACUAUGUGUUGUUGGGUAGGGGAGCGUUCUGUAAGCCUGUGAAGGUGGCCUGUGAGGGUUGCUGGAGGUAUCAGAAGUGCGAAUGCUGACAUAAGUAACGAUAAAGCGGGUGAAAAGCCCGCUCGCCGGAAGACCAAGGGUUCCUGUCCAACGUUAAUCGGGGCAGGGUGAGUCGACCCCUAAGGCGAGGCCGAAAGGCGUAGUCGAUGGGAAACAGGUUAAUAUUCCUGUACUUGGUGUUACUGCGAAGGGGGGACGGAGAAGGCUAUGUUGGCCGGGCGACGGUUGUCCCGGUUUAAGCGUGUAGGCUGGUUUUCCAGGCAAAUCCGGAAAACCAAGGCUGAGGCGUGAUGACGAGGCACUACGGUGCUGAAGCGACAAAUGCCCUGCUUCCAGGAAAAGCCUCUAAGCAUCAGGUAACAUCAAAUCGUACCCCAAACCGACACAGGUGGUCAGGUAGAGAAUACCAAGGCGCUUGAGAGAACUCGGGUGAAGGAACUAGGCAAAAUGGUGCCGUAACUUCGGGAGAAGGCACGCUGAUAUGUAGGUGAAGCGACUUGCUCGUGGAGCUGAAAUCAGUCGAAGAUACCAGCUGGCUGCAACUGUUUAUUAAAAACACAGCACUGUGCAAACACGAAAGUGGACGUAUACGGUGUGACGCCUGCCCGGUGCCGGAAGGUUAAUUGAUGGGGUUAGCGGCAACGCGAAGCUCUUGAUCGAAGCCCCGGUAAACGGCGGCCGUAACUAUAACGGUCCUAAGGUAGCGAAAUUCCUUGUCGGGUAAGUUCCGACCUGCACGAAUGGCGUAAUGAUGGCCAGGCUGUCUCCACCCGAGACUCAGUGAAAUUGAACUCGCUGUGAAGAUGCAGUGUACCCGCGGCAAGACGGAAAGACCCCGUGAACCUUUACUAUAGCUUGACACUGAACAUUGAGCCUUGAUGUGUAGGAUAGGUGGGAGGCUUUGAAGUGUGG